GCGGGCAGAGCCUGCGGCCCCAGCGCCGUGCGGCCGAGAGAGCCCAGCCGAGGGCCCGGGGCGUGCUGAGCGGCUCGGGGCCCCGCACGGUGCCAGCCGCGGCCGUGGCUGCAGGCACAGCAAGCCUGAAUGGCAGCUGCGACCCCCAGCCGGCCGCUGACAGCUGUGUCCCGAACGAGACCCCCACGGCCUCAUCUUCCCUAAUUAGUGUAGCCCGCCCGUAAUUAGCGGGGGUGGUGAGAUGGGGUAGUGCAAGGGCUGAGCUCCCCCAGCUCCCUCUGCUGCCUUCAGUCUCCUCAGCAGCAGCUGAGACAGGGAGGGGAGCAGAGGCAGAGGCUGCAGUGGAGUCACAGCGAGCGAUGCUCAGGGCUGGCACUCUCCUGGCAGCAGCAGAUGAGAGCAGUGCUGAGCCCGGGCCCUUUUUUGGCUCCUCUCCCUGCCCCCCCGCAGCCUGCUUUGUGAGUGUCCUACCUGGCUGCACCUGCAGCACUGCCUCCAGUUCUGCUGUGCCCGGCCCAGGGAGGCCACCAAGGCCUCUCCUGUUUGCUGCAGCUUCCAAAGAAAACUGCAUCAGGGUUUGACUGCUGCAAGCUGAGGGACUCCUGGGGCCCUGCCCACCUGAAGACAUCCACUUCAGCUGGAUCUUCUGCAGCCUGUUCCCCUGGGAUUCGUGCUGCUGCGGGGCCAGGGGACGCCGGAGCGAUGGGACGAAUAGAUAGGCAAGAGCCCGGGGCCGCUCCACCGGGACAGCCUGAGGCGGUAGAGGCCAGGGACACUCGGGAGGUGCCCGAGGGCCAGAGGGCAGCAAGCCUGGCAUGCCAGGGAAGGGUGCCGCUUUAGGAAUGAGCCACUAAUGACUGUGUCUUGGGCAUUUCCUGCGAGCUGCCCGGGCCGGCGCUGCGCUGCUGUCUGCUGGGGAGCUCUGAUCUCAGCCGCCAGCAAUGCU